UUUUUCUGGAUAGAGAUUGUUCUCCCCUUGAGCUGUUGCUGGAAGGGGUCAUUGGAAGGGAAACAACAACCCUGAUGGAAACUAAUGACUGUAUCUUUUCCAUUUCCCAUGAAAGUAAGAAGUAAGCGGUAAAGCUGUUUUUGUGCACUACUGAUGCAUUACUCUGGUUGUAAAAACUAGCAAGAUUUCAUAAACCAUGAAGAAAGGGGUUUAUGUUGGAGGUGGAUGAAAGAGGCUUCAUCCCACUUAAAAACAAACAAAAAAAUCAGAAGAAGAAAAAAGCAGAAUUCCUCUCUGCAGCUAUAUUUGGUUUUGAAUCUUCUUCAGAUGGCUGCUGUCCAGUCAACUUUGGGAGGAAAACUGCAACGUUUUGAAGAAGAAAAAUAAAAGGUUGAAAGGAUAUAGAGAUGAAGUAGCGAGAGGAAGCUGGUAAUAAAGUUCAGGACACAGUGUUGGUUCUUGACCAACAGUGGGGGAUCAGUGCCCGUGAAGAUGUGCAGACAAGGCAUGUUUCAGACUCCCAGAAGCUGUUUGUUUGCCAUACUGUGAGGAAGCAGGUGUGGGCCAGCACCACUGCAUGCUCCUGUUGCACUAUGAGGACAUGGUUUAGGACCAGACCAAGUUGCCCCAAGAUCAAUUCCUUCCCGUGACUGUCAGGUAUGACCUGACCAUACCUCUCCAUGGGACAGUGCAUAUCUGGACAAAGAAGAAAAAGUUGGUAACACUUAUGAUACAACGCUAAGAUAUGGCAGUGUUGGACACAAGACACUAUGCAGACCAAGGAUGGUGCUCUACAGUGAUACAGGUGCUUUUCUGCCACAUGUACAUUGAAACAAGUCUGACAGCAAUGGGGAGCCCAUAGCUCUUUUUACCCAGCCUGAUAAAUCUCUCAUUAACAUGACAAAAACAAAUGGCAUAUUUCUAUCCUAAAUUAAACUGGCAAGUUUAAAGCCUCUGCAAUAAAGGCCGUUCAUUAUCUUUGGCAGCAAGCUUAAUCCAAAUAUACAUGUAAAACAACAGCUAUUAUGUUACUCUUAUAGACAUCUAAGCUGUCAAUAAGAGUAUCUGUAGUAUCUGUUUUCUCGCUUAUGAAUGCCUGUCAGAUAUGGCAUGAAGUGAAUAUGGCAAAGCAGAGUGCUAAGGUAACUUUUAAUAACGAGUGCCAUGACAAUUAUAGCUGCAAGGGCAGUGCACUGGUUCACUGCCCUUUGAAGACCGGUCCUUGAUUUGACAUUUUGGAGAGUGUGAUCUUUCUUUUCUUACUUCCCUUCCCAAAUGUUUCAUCCCUUGCUUAGCUGUAAGGCAGAGAGAAGCUUUGAAAAUGGGUCUUCCACCAUCUGCUCACUGAAAAACCAAAUAAAGGAA
rnacentral:lncRNA from 1 species